UUGCCAUUCAGUGGUUUGCCACUCUACUCCGAGCUCCACGCCUGAACCCACUUCUCCAUUUGAACGGGACUUAUUAUUACUGAUAGCUGCAGCCCGUUCCACCGGCGGCUCCCUGGGCUCUAGCCUGGCUAUCCUAUCCCAGGUGAAUGACAGUUUUAGCCUCGGCACUUCACUCUCUCGUUCCCCGACACUUCACGGACGGAACUCCUGACGAGUGCCUGCCAUUUACGUUUAUGUUUAUCUGUAUAGUUAUUUGUGUGAGAUUAUGUAUAUUAUGAUGAAUAUAACUAUGAAGGCGCAA